UGAUCGGGGCUCAAAUCUACCACCGAGACCUGGCAAUGCCUGUCAGAAGGCAACUUAGUAGGCUUGGCGUACUGAUCGGGCGGAAGCACGGGCGAGAGCUCGCGUGGACCGUUCAGUAACGAAAAUCCUGGUCACAGUAGCAGCGAGAGUCGGGUGUGAACCCCGACGGCCUGACGAGCAAGGGUUCCUCGGCACUGCCAAUCAGCCGAGGGUUAGCCGGCCCUAAGUCUCACCGUAACUCGACUGAGACAAACGGGAAACUGGUUAAUAUUCCAGUGCCGCCGUGCAAUUCGCCGACGCUUUUGGAAACAGCGAGCGGGGCCUUCGCCCCGUCGAAUCGUAGAAGAUCGUGGACGCCGUAACGGCAGGAAGCGAUCGAAUUACGAGACAGCGCAAGUCGCUGGUACCGAGAGCCCGUGAAAAGGCGCACGGUGACCGUACCAAGAUCCGACACAGGUGCUCAGGCAGCGAAAGCCAAGGCCCGUCGGGAGCAACCGGCGUUAGGGAAUUCGGCAAGUUAGUCCCGUACCUUCGGAAGAAGGGAUGCCUGCUUUUCACCGAGCAGGUCGCAGUGACUCGGACGCUCCGACUGUGUAGUAACAACAUAGGUGACCGCAAAUCCGCAAGGACUCGUACGGUCACUGAAUCCUGCCCAGUGCAGGUAUCUGAACACCUCGUACAAGAGGACGAAGGACCUGUCAACGGCGGGGGUAACUAUGACCCUCUUAAGGUAGCGUAGUACCUUGCCGCUUCAGUAGCGGCUUGCAUGAAUGGAUCAACGAGAGCGUCACUGUCCCAACGCUGGGCCCGGUGAACUGUACGUUCCAGUGCGGAGUCUGGAGACCCCCAAGGGGAAGCGAAGACCCUAUAGAGCUUUACUGCAGGCUGUCGCUGGGACGUGGUCGCUAACGUGCAGGAUAGGUAGGAGUCAUUACAGAGGUACCCGCGCUAGCGGGCCACCCAGACACUCCUGAAAUACUACCCGUUAGUGACUGCGACCCUCACUCCUGGCGGAGGACACCGGUAGCCGGGCAGUUUGACUGGGGCGGUACGCGCUCGAAAAGAUAUCGAGCGCGCCCAAAGAUUUCCUCA
rnacentral:rRNA from 1 species